AGAGCCAUUUCUUGCUCUGUAAUUGAAACGAAACGAUCAUCUGCCGAGAAUGAUGAAAAAGAAAUCUCAAGUUUGCAAGAUGAGGU